UACGGGGGGGGCAAGCGUUGUUCGGAAUUACUGGGCGUAAAGGGCUCGUAGGCGGCCAACUAAGUCAGACGUGAAAUCCCUCGGCUUAACCGGGGAACUGCGUCUGAUACUGGAUGGCUUGAGUUUGGGAGAGGGACGCGGAAUUCCAGGUGUAGCGGUGAAAUGCGUAGAUAUCUGGAGGAACACCGGUGGCGAAGGCGGCGUCCUGGACCAACACUGACGCUGAGGAGCGAAAGCCAGGGAGACAAAGCGGGAUUAGAUACCCCUUGAGU
rnacentral:rRNA from 1 species